CGGAAUUACUGGGCGUAAAGCGCACGUAGGCGGAUCUUUAAGUCAUGGGUGAAAUCCUGGAGCUCAACUCCAGAACUGCCUUUGAUACUGAGGAUCUCGAGUCCGGGAGAGGUGAGUGGAACUGCGAGUGUAGAGGUGAAAUUCGUAGAUAUUCGCAAGAACACCAGUGGCGAAGGCGGCGCACUGGCCCGGUACUGACGCUGAGGUGCGAAAGCGUGGGGAGCAAACAGG
rnacentral:rRNA from 1 species